GUCGUGAGAUGUUGGGUUAAGUCCCGCAACGAGCGCAACCCUCGUCCCUAGUUACCAGCGGGUUAUGCCGGGCACUCUAGGGAGACUGCCGGUGUCAAACCGGAGGAAGGUGGGGAUGACGUCAAGUCAUCAUGGCCCUUACGUCCAGGGCGACACACGUGCUACAAUGGCCGGUACAGAGCGUCGCCAACCCGCGAGGGUGCGCUAAUCGCCAAAAGCCGGUCUAAGUUCGGAUUGCAGUCUGCAACUCGACUGCAUGAAGCCGGAAUCGCUAGUAAUCGUGGAUCAGCCAUGCCACGGUGAAUACGCUCCCGGGCCUUGUACACACCGCCCGUCACGCCAUGGAAGCUGGGGGGACCUGAAGCCGGUGGGCUAACUCGCAAGAGGGGCAGCCGUCAAAGGUCAAUUCAGUGACUGGGGCGAAGUCGUAACAAGGUAGCCGUAGGGGAACCUGCGGCUGGAUCACCUCCUUUCUGGAGCGACGAGUACGCUCGGUGCACCCCCUACACGGGAACCCGAGACGAAAGUCCUCAGAAGUCGCCCGCACUCUAUCGCUUUCUAGCUUGCAUCACUUCUUCUUGGCGGGCCCCGUGGGGUCCGCCCUGCUCUUUGACAAUCGACGAAUGAAUGGUUUGCCUGGAGGCGCCCGGGUGCUCGCUUGCGAGUGCACGGAUGUCGUCAGGCAGGGUGUGAGGAAUCAACACCGGUCGUCCUGAUCCGAUCGCAGGAUCGGGAACGACAUGAGAUUUGAGAUCAAACGCAAUAAGGCACACGGUGGAUGCCUUGGCAUCGAGAGGCGAUGAAGGGCGUGAUAAGCUGCGAUAAGCCUGGGGGAGCUGCACAUGAGCCGUGAUCCCAGGAUGC
rnacentral:sRNA from 1 species